GACGAACGCUGGCGGCGUGCCUAAUACAUGCAAGUCGAGCGGACGGAUGGGAGCUUGCUCCCAUACCGUCAGCGCCGGCCGGGUGAGUAACCCGUGGGCAACCUGCCUGUAAGACUGGGAUAACUCCGGGAAACCGGGGCUAAUACCGGAUAACUCUUUCCCUCCCUUGAGGGAAAGCUGAAAGAUGGCAUCUCGCUAUCACUUACACAUGUGCCCGCGGGGCAUUAGCUAGUUGGUGAGGUAACGGCUCACCAAGGCGACUAUGCGUAGCCGACCUGAGGGGGUGAUCGGCGACACGGGGACUGAGACACGGCCCAGACUCCUACGGGAGGCAGCAGUAGGGAAUCUGCCGCAAUGGACGAAAGUCUGACGGAGCAACGCCGCGUGAGUGAUGAAGGUGUUCGGAUCGUAAAACUCUGUUGUCAGGGAAGAACAAGUACCGGAGUAACUGCCGGUACCGUGACGGUACCUGAUCAGAAAGCCACGGCUAACUACGUG
rnacentral:rRNA from 1 species